GAGGGUAUGGCUCAGUGGUAGAGCGUGUGCUCAGCAUGCAUGAGGUCCUGGGUUCAAUCCCCAGCACCUCCU
rnacentral:tRNA from 1 species